GAUGAACGCUGGCGGCGUGCCUAAUACAUGCAAGUCGUGCGAACAGAUGCUUAGCUUGCUCCUCUGACGUUAGCGGCGUACGUGUGACUAACAUGUGCAUAACCCACCUAUAAGACUGGGAUAACUUCGUGAAACCGGAGCUAAUACCGUAUACUAUCUUGAACCUCAUGGUUCAAUAGUUCAAGCCGGUUUUGCUGUCAUUUCUAGAUGGAUCCGCGCCGGAUUAGCUAGUUGGUAAGGUAACGGCUUCCCAAGGCAACCAUGCGUAGCCGACCUGAGAGGGGGAAGGGCGACACGGGAACUGAGACGCGGUACAGACUCCGAGGGGAGGCAGAGGUAGGGAAGCGAGGGAGAUGGGGGAAAGAUUGAAGGAGGAACGCAGGGUGAGUGAAGAAGGGCUGCGGAUCGUAAAACUCUGUUAGGAGGGAAGAACAAAUGUGGAAGUAACGAUGCACGUCGUGACGGUACCUAAUCAGAAAGCCACGGCUAACUACGUG
rnacentral:rRNA from 1 species